GCCCUUUGGAGAAAUUUGGGGUUUUGAGAGUUUCUACCUCCAUUGAAGCUUGAGGAGCCAUCAAUCCUUGGUUGUGUGACCAUUGGUGGAUUGAGACAUUUGGACCAACCGUGAGUGAUCAACCAUUGGAGCAAGCUAUGGAGCUUGAAUAGCUCAUUGGAAUUGGUGUAUGUUUGUAAAAGUUGAUUGCUGAAACUGUUGGUGAAGAACAAAGGUUGACUGAAGCAUUGAGGUAAGGAUGCUGCAGGAGCCUCUGGUGGCAAGUGGCCAUACCUAGAUUAUGCAUGAAAUAUGGCACUUCUUUGAGUUUAUGCAUGCCUUUUGUAGUUGACAUGUAUAGGAUUUUAUUUUGAAAGCCCAUGAUCAUUUGUAUAUCUUGAUUCAUUGGAUGAACUUAGCCUAUGCUCAUGCCUUUGGUUACACCUUUUGUUGAUGGGAGCCAAGGGAAUGAUCAUAGUGUUUUGUAAGCUAAGUUCUAUGAUUUGUAAAGGAUAUGUAAUGUAAA